GUUUGAUCCUGGCUCAGGACGAACGCUGGCGGCGCGCCUAACACAUGGAAGUCGAACGAGCGAGAGAGAGCUUGCUUUCUCGAGCGAGUGGCGAACGGGUGAGUAACGCGUGAGGAACCUGCCUCAAAGAGGGGGACAACAGUUGGAAACGACUGCUAAUACCGCAUAAGCCCACAGCUCGGCAUCGAGCAGAGGGAAAAGGAGCAAUCCGCUUUGAGAUGGCCUCGCGUCCGAUUAGCUAGUUGGUGAGGUAAUGGCCCACCAAGGCGACGAUCGGUAGCCGGACUGAGAGGUUGAACGGCCACAUUGGGACUGAGACACGGCCCAGACUCCUACGGGAGGCAGCAGUGGGGAAUAUUGCACAAUGGGGGAAACCCUGAUGCAGCGACGCCGCGUGGAGGAAGAAGGUCUUCGGAUUGUAAACUCCUGUUGUUGAGGAAGAUAAUGACGGUACUCAACAAGGAAGUGACGGCUAACUACGUGCCAGCAGCCGCGGUAAAACGUAGGUCACAAGCGUUGUCCGGAAUUACUGGGUGUAAAGGGAGCGCAGGCGGGAAGACAAGUUGGAAGUGAAAUCUAUGGGCUCAACCCAUAAACUGCUUUCAAAACUGUUUUUCUUGAGUAGUGCAGAGGUAGGCGGAAUUCCCGGUGUAGCGGUGGAAUGCGUAGAUAUCGGGAGGAACACCAGUGGCGAAGGCGGCCUACUGGGCACCAACUGACGCUGAGGCUCGAAAGUGUGGGUAGCAAACAGGAUUAGAUACCCUGGUAGUCCACACCGUAAACGAUGAUUACUAGGUGUUGGAGGAUUGACCCCUUCAGUGCCGCAGUUAACACAAUAAGUAAUCCACCUGGGGAGUACGACCGCAAGGUUGAAACUCAAAGGAAUUGACGGGGGCCCGCACAAGCAGUGGAGUAUGUGGUUUAAUUCGACGCAACGCGAAGAACCUUACCAAGUCUUGACAUCCUGCGACGGACAUAGAAAUAUGUCUUUCCUUCGGGACGCAGAGACAGGUGGUGCAUGGUUGUCGUCAGCUCGUGUCGUGAGAUGUCGGGUUAAGUCCCGCAACGAGCGCAACCCUUACUGCCAGUUACUACGCAAGAGGACUCUGGCAGGAUUGCCGUUGACAAAACGGAGGAAGGUGGGGAUGACGUCAAAUCAUCAUGCCCUUUAUGACUUGGGCUACACACGUACUACAAUGGCGUUAAACAAAGAGAAGCAAGACCGCGAGGUGGAGCAAAACUCAGAACCAACGUCCCAGUUCGGACUGCAGGCUGCAACUCGCCUGCACGAAGUCGGAAUUGCUAGUAAUCGUGGAUCAGCAUGCCACGGUGAAUACGUUCCCGGGCCUUGUACACACCGCCCGUC
rnacentral:rRNA from 1 species